GACGAACGCUGGGGCGUGCUUAACACCUGCAAGUCGAACGGAAAGGCCCUGCUUUUGUGGGGUGCUCGAGUGGCGAACGGGUGAGUAACACGUGAGUAACCUGCCCUUGACUUUGGGAUAACUUCAGGAAACUGGGGCUAAUACCGGAUAGGAGCUCCUGCUGCAUGGUGGGGGUUGGAAAGUUUCGGCGGUUGGGGAUGGACUCGCGGCUUAUCAGCUUGUUGGUGGGGUAGUGGCUUACCAAGGCUUUGACGGGUAGCCGGCCUGAGAGGGUGACCGGCCACAUUGGGACUGAGAUACGGCCCAGACUCCUACGGGAGGCAGCAGUGGGGAAUAUUGCACAAUGGGCGGAAGCCUGAUGCAGCAACGCCGCGUGCGGGAUGACGGCCUUCGGGUUGUAAACCGCUUUCGCCUGUGACGAAGCGUGAGUGACGGUAAUGGGUAAAGAAGCACCGGCUAACUACGUG
rnacentral:rRNA from 1 species